UGGGUGUAAAGGGCACGUAGGCGGUGAAUCGGGUUGAAUGUGAAAGCCGCCAAAAACUGGUGGAAUUUUCUCAAAACCAAUUCACUUGAUUGAGACAGAGGAGAGUGGAAUUUCGUGUGUAGGUUUGAAAUCCGGAGAUCUACGAAGGAAGGCCAAAAGCAAAGGUAGCUCUCUGGGUCCCUACCGAUGCUAAGGUGCGAAAGCAUGGGGAGCGAACAGGAUUAGAUACCCUGGUAGUCCAUGCCGUAAACAAUGAGUGUUCACCCUUGGUCUACGCGGAUCAGGGGCCCAGCUAAUGCGUGAAACACUCCGCCUGGGGAGUACGGUCGCAAGACCGAAACUCAAAGGAAUUAACGGGGGCCUGCACAAGCGGUGGAGCAUGUGGUUUAAUUCGAUACAACGCGCAAAAUCUUACCAGCCCUUGACAUAUGAACAAGAAAACCUGUCCUUAACGGGAUGGUACUGACUUUCAUACAGGUGUUGCAUGGUUGUCGUCAGCUCGUGUCGUGAGAUAUUUGGUCAAGUCCUAUAACGAGCGAAACCCUCGUUUUGUGUUGCUGAGACAUGCGCCUAAGGAGAAAGUGUUUGCAACCGAAGUGAGCCGAGGAGCCGAGUGAUGUGCCAGCGCUACUAAUUGAGUGCCAGCACCUAGCUGUGCUGUCAGUAAGAAGGUAGGCGGUGCCUUUCGAAGCACUUUCUAUUUCUAGAUAGAAAGGGCCUUUCUUGCUUGUUUAGUAAAGUCAAGUUUUGGCCUUAUCUUGCAGGUGACGACAACGUCGAGUUGACGGCAGAGAAAGACUCGGCAUUCAGGCGAGCCACCCGGUGGUGUGGUACGUAGUGGGUUUAGUACUCCCAAAUAAACAGCUCCUAAACAAACAAAAAGGUGCGUGCCGCACUCACGAAGGACUGCCAGUGAUAUACUGGAAGAAGGUGGGGAUGACGUCAAGUUCGCAUGGCCCUUAUGUGCUGGGCCACACACGUGCUACAAUGGCAAUUACAAUGGGAAGCAAGGCUGUAAGGCGGAGAGAAUACGGAAAGAUUGCCUCAGUUCGGAUUGUUCUCUGCAACUCGGGAACAUGAAGUUGGAAUCGCUAGUAAUGGCGGAUCAGCAUGCCGCUGUGAAUAUGUACCCGGUCCCUGUACACAAUGCCCGUCACACCCUGGGAAUUGGUUUCGCCCGAAGCAUCGGACCAAUGAACACCCAUGACUUCUGUGGCACACUAGUGCCACAAAGGCCUUUGGUGGUCUUAUUGGCGCAUACCACGGUGGGGUCUUCGACUGGGGUGAAGUCGUAACAAGGUAGCCGUAGGGGAACGUUCCUGUGGCUAGAUUGAAUCUUUC
rnacentral:ncRNA from 1 species